UACAGAGGGUGCGAGCGUUGUUCGGAAUUAUUGGGCGUAAAGGGCGCGUAGGCGGUGCGGGAAGUCACCUGUGAAAUCUCCUGGCUCAACUGGGAGCUUGCAGGCGAAACUGCCGUGCUGGAGUGUGGGAGAGGUGCGUGGAAUUCCUGGUGUAGCGGUGAAAUGCGUAGAUAUCAGGAGGAACACCUGUGGCGAAAGCGGCGCACUGGACCACAACUGAUGCUGAGGCGCGAAAGCUAGGGGAGCAAACAGG
rnacentral:rRNA from 1 species